UACGUAGGGUGCGAGCGUUGUCCGGAUUUAUUGGGCGUAAAGAGCUCGUAGGCGGCUCGUCGCGUCGACCGUGAAAACCCGCGGCUUAACCGCGGGCUUGCGGUUGAUACGGGCGGGCUAGAGUGCAGAAGGGGCAACUGGAAUUCUCGGUGUAGCGGUGAAAUGCGUAGAUAUCGAGAGGAACACCUGCGGCGAAGGCGGGUUGCUGGGCUGACACUGACGCUGAGGCGCGAAAGCUAGGGGAGCGAACGGG
rnacentral:rRNA from 1 species